rnacentral:ncRNA from 1 species
UUUGACGGGGUGCUGGCGAUUAAGCCGGCUGAGAUGGUGCAAAUGCACCGGACCCGAGAACCUGAUCUGGGUAAUGCCAGCGUAGGAAGC